ensembl:lncRNA
AUGUUAACCACCUGCUCCCCCAGCCAGCUGCCUCCCCAAACCAUGCUUCUCGAGGAGAGGAGAUGCCAGCAUCUUCAGUCAAGCAAAGACAGAGGGAGACUUGCCUGUGGUUGGAAACCACCCUCCCGGGCCCCAGGACAGUAUCACGGAAGGGGACCUAGAUCCACUGGAUCAGGAGGAGCAGAACUGACUACCGCCUUCCUGCCAGUGUCUGCUGACCAGUUCACCCACUUGCAUCACGUGUUGCAGCGCAUUGCUUCGUUACGCCUGGAGUUCCUCAAGGACCGAAAUGAAUGUUCUGGGGCUGGGUCUGUCCUUGACCGAGAUCUUGAUGGACGCCUGCCCCUCUCUAAACUCACUGUAUAUCACACAGAGAUUUGGACGUGUUUCGGGCUUGGGGUUUUCUGUUUGGUUUUUUGGGGGGAAGUGUUUUUGAUUCACCCUUGCAAAAAGAAUAUUCUAUCAGAGUUACCAGCUGGAAGGAACUAUUGCCAUCGCACUGAAGUAGAUCAAGACGUAAAAAAGAUGUUAAGAGCGGCAGCGGCUGCUACACUCAUGUUUUCUGGCUUGCUGAUAACUCUCUGAUGGUUUCCACAUCAGGAAGGACUCUGGGAUCAGGAGCCAGAGGGGUUUUUUUUUGGGGGGGGGUGUUUGUUUUUAAUUCUUUUUUCCCCACAGCCGUUGGUCACAAGAAUUUAUGAGGAAACCAAUGAAAGAGUCGAUGGCCUCUUCCAACAACCUUAAAUAACAAGGGCGUCUGGGCCGGAAGGCCGUCUCUGACCCAGGGCGUGUGAAAGCGCUGUGCAAGCUGGUGGCUGCGACGAGGCACCACGACCACCACGUGGUCUCCUCAUCUUCUGGAAUCUUCUUUUGAGCCCGUCAGCGCUGUGGCCCUCCUUUUCCAGCACUGCCCAUGAAGCCUGCCCCACACAGCCUUGAGGCCAGAGAGACCUCAGUUUAAAGCCCAAGUGACCCCUUCCGGCUGCAUGCCCCUGUCCUUGGGACUCCCUCAGCCCUCUGGUCCUCAACUGUGACAUGGGGACAGUAACACCUACCUCUGAGGGCCUGUUCCAAGCAUUAAAUGAUGCUUUACGCAGCCUCCCUUGGGCCUUCAUUACACCAGGUGCUACGGCUAACACGAUGCUGAGGAGCUCCCGUUAUGACUCAUCGCUAAUGAACCUGACUGGUAUCCAUGGGGAUGCAGGUUUGAUCCCGGGUCUCACUCAGAGGGUUAAGGAUCCAGUGUUGCUGUGAGCUGUGGUGUAGGUCGCAGAUGUGGCUCAGAUCCCCUAUGGCUGCGGCUGCAGCUCCCAUUCAACCCCUAGCCUGGAACUUCCAUAUGCUGCGGGUGCGGCCAUAAAAAGACCAAAACAAAACAAAACAAACAAACAAAAACGCAAUGCAGAAAGUACAUGGAGAGACAGAUGAAGUAUCUGACAAACAAUAUCUGUGGCCAGUAAAUGUUUUCAUCGUAUUUGUCAUUAUUGCCUUUAUUCAGAUAGAUACACUAUUAAAGGAGCAAACGGUUGAACUGAGAGAAGCAGCAGGUUGCACCGGGUCUGCAAACCUAAAAGGAGGAGUUCCCACUGUGGCGAGUCGGAAGUGAAUCUGACUAGUAUCCAUGAGGACGCAGGUUCAAUCCCUGGCCUCAUUCAGUGGGUUAAGGACCCAGUGUUGCCGUAGGCUGUGGUGUAGAUUGCAGAUGCAGCUCAGAUCCUGCGUUGCUGUGGCUGUGGUGUAGGCUGGCAGCUGUAGCUUCGAUUCGACCCUUAGCCUGGGAACUCCCAUAUGCCAUGGGUGUGGCCCUAAAAAGCAAAAAAAAAGAAAGAAAGAAAAGCUGGGCAAUUCCUGCAGGGAAAGUGCAAGUAAAUAGGCAACGACACACAGUGUGGACAGUAUGAAGGCAGAGCCUGUCACAGCGUGUGCCCGAGGACUCCAAGCGGGGGCUGCAAACCUGAGCCCCGCAUCGCAGCCAAGUCACAUCACAGACGAAAAGGUGGAGUAAAACGGCAUCACAUGGGCAUCACGUGGGACAUUUCUUACAUCACAGGCUAACACUGAACCCCAAUCAGUCUGCCAGGACGCUCCCGACUUUCUUGGUUGUUUCUUAACCGAAAGCUGCCCCAGGAACAUGCACCAGGGACCUACGCGCCAUCCCGUUCUCAGCCUUUCUCCACAGAGAUGCUCAGCAAUCUGAUCAGGAUUCCUUCUCAGCUGGACAGAUGUCAAGUACCCACUAUUGGCUCAGCAACACUGAGUCUCAGGGGUUCCCUCUUUGGAAGCAACUGUCCCCUUUUAACUAAUAGAGUAGCAAUCUUUUAUUUGAAUGAUACUUUUACAAAGUUUCUAUCAGCAAAGCAGGUAAUUCAAAGUUUCUAUAAGCAAAGCAGGUAAUUUUAUACAAAGUUUAGCGGCUCCAGUAAGACCCAGUCACUAACCAGAAAUGGCGACAAUACCAUGUUAUUUUUUUUUAAAUAAUACUAAAAUGUAAAGAAAUCACAUAAAAGGGAUAUCUGAUACACUACUCUGCAGAUAUCAAUGCUCGUGUAGUAGAAUAUUUACGGUAAUGACAUGGUUAAAAAAAUCCUAGCACCCCUAGCAUUACAUACAGGAAGGCUGUGUAUACAGGAUGGCAGCAUUUUUGGUUCAUUUUCUAUUAGAUAUGGACAUAAAAAAGACGAGAAGAACUUGGUUAUUUCUAAGUGGAGUUUUAGUUUUUUGGUUUGUAAUUUUCCGGGUUUUGUAAGUUUUCUGCAAUGAAGACAUAUAACAUUUGACAUUUGAAAAAAAAAAUCCGUUUUUUGUUUUUUUUUUUUUUUUUCCCUUUUAUGGCUGCACCUGCACCUGCAGCAUUUGGAAGUUCCCGAGCUAGGGUUGAGCUGCAGCCGAGGCCUACACCAUCACCCCAGAUCCUUAACCCACGGAGCAAGACCAAGGAUGGAACUCACAUCCUCACGGAGAGAAUGUCAGGCCCUUAACUGGCUGAGUCACAAUGGGAACUCCAAAAAAUGCUUUUUAAUCAGGAAAGUAAAUAAAUAAAUCUUCCCCAGAACA